GAUGAAGAACGUAGCGAAAUGCGAUAAGUAAUGUGAAUUGCAGAAUUCAGUGAAUCAUCGAGUCUUUGAACGCACAUUGCACCCCCUGGUAUUCCGGGGGGCAUGCCUGUCCGAGCGUCAUUGCUGCCCUCAAGCACGGCUUGUGUGUUGGGCCGCCGUCCCCGGUUUCCCCCGGGGACGGGCCCGAAAGGCAGCGGCGGCACCGCGUCCGAUCCUCGAGCGUAUGGGGCUUUGUCACCCGCUCUGUAGGCCCGGCCGGCGCCAGCCGACACCCAACUUUAUUUCUAAGGUUGACCUCGGAUCAGGUAGGGAUACCCGCUGAACUUAAGCAUAUCAAUAAGCGGAGGA
rnacentral:misc_RNA from 1 species